rnacentral:tRNA from 1 species
GCCAGCCUGGCACAGUGGCUUGAGUGUUGGACUACAACUCUGGAGACCAGGGUUCGAUUCCUGGCUCGGCC